CCUACGGGAGGCAGCAGUGGGGAAUAUUGCACAAUGGGGGAAACCCUGAUGCAGCAACGCCGCGUGAGUGAAGAAGUAUUUCGGUAUGUAAAGCUCUAUCAGCAGGGAAGAAGAUGACGGUACCUGACCAAGAAGCCCCGGCUAACUACGUGCCAGCAGCCGCGGUAAUACGUAGGGGGCAAGCGUUAUCCGGAUUUACUGGGUGUAAAGGGAGCGCAGACGGCAGUGCAAGUCUGGAGUGAAAGCCCGGGGCCCAACCCCGGAACUGCUCUGGAAACUGUGCGGCUAGAGUACUGGAGGGGCAGGCGGAAUUCCUAGUGUAGCGGUGAAAUGCGUAGAUAUUAGGAAGAACACCAGUGGCGAAGGCGGCUUUCUGGACUGAAACUGACGCUGAGGCACGAAAGCGUGGGGAGCGAACAGGAUUAGAUACCCCUGUAGUC
rnacentral:rRNA from 1 species